rnacentral:lncRNA from 1 species
UAAGCAGCGCGUUAGCUUACGGGCAGGAGUAAGAGCUUUGAAGCCUCGGGUGCGUUGUACCUCCUGGAGCUGUGUGAGUGGUGGAUCGCUUUUUCUCAACUCUUCCCACACUGGAAUGCCUACAAGCUGUCUGUCCCUCCUCCUCCCCAAGGUCUCAGGCUCGCUAUGUAGAGGAUGAUGGCUUUGAACUACUGCCUUUGCUUCCCCAGCGCAGCAUCCACAUGACAGCUCAGAAUCAUCUGGAACCGCAAUUCCAGAGAAUCUGGCACCAGGCAGUCAAGUUACCACAGAUACAUAUAAAAUACAUUAGUCAAGAGUGCACGGAAUUGUUUGUUCAUCGUUUAAGCAUAGUCUACCCAAGUUCCUGCAAAGAAAGGGCGCCAGAAGAUUGGAGAGCGAGCUCUUUGGGUUCCAAGUUUAGUCUGAUCAUGUAAGUCAUGCUGGUGCUUCAGGACAGCUCGUGGGCACUCAGCUUCAGGAGGAAAUUGUGUUGCUUGCUGGAAACCUGAGGAAGCUUAGACCCAGAAGUGUUCUGUGAACUCUGAAUUUGAAAAUGCUAAACUUGGGAAUCAGACAAGGAAAGCAACUGUUAAGAGACCAGACUAAAUGCAGUCGGCAGAAGUCUUCACCGACAGAUGCUACACGCCGCAUCAGGACCAACAGACUGAAGAGUCCUGGUUGCCAAACCAUGGAUUUCACCAUCAGUGGCACCAACAAAGCCACCAGCAGUAGGAGGUGACUUCAGCAGGCAGGAGUAAAAGAUUCUGCCCACCUCCACCCAUCUCAGCAGUAGAAAAGGCAGGGCUGGACUUUACCUGUUCCCACCAAAGGCCAUGGCACCCUGACAGACGCUCCUGUUUUUAUGUGUGAUCUAAAGAUGGGGGUUUGAAACCAAAAUAAGGCCCAAGUUCUAUUAUACUUUGAGCUUGACUCUAAAAACCACACAAAGAGAUAUUGCACCUUAAAACACCUCUGUACUAAAAACUUGGCUUGACCAGAUCAUCCGAGGAGUAGGGACAUUUGGCCUGAAGCCUGCCCUCUGUCCUCAGCGUCUAGUUGCAAAUGUGCCUCUCAGAGGGGUAGAGCCCACAGCUGAGAUCACAGAGGUGGUGAGCACACCAAAUUUCACAUGCAAUUUCCUGGCCUUUCCUGCACAGAGUAAUUCAGACAUUAUAUAAACAGAGCAGUGGGACAUUUACUUUUUUUUUUCCAUCUAGACCUACAACAUCAAUACAUAUAAAUAAAUU